rnacentral:rRNA from 1 species
GCGCGAAAACUUUACAAUGCUGGCAACAGCGAUAAGGGAACCUCGAGUGCCAGGUUACAAAUCUGGCUGUCGAGAUGCCUAAAAAGCAUUUCAUAGCAAGGGCCGGGCAAGACCGGUGCCAGCCGCCGCGGUAACACCGGCGGCUCGAGUGGUAACCGUUAUUAUUGGGUCUAAAGGGUCUGUAGCCGGCCGGAUAAGUCUCCUGAGAAAUCUGGCAGCUUAACUGUCAGGCUUUCAGGAGAUACUGUCUGGCUCGAGGCCGGGAGAGGUGAGAGGUACUUCAGGGGUAGGGGUGAAAUCUUGUGAUCCUUGAAGGACCACCAGUGGCGAAGGCGUCUCACCAGAACGGACCUGACGGCAAGGGACGAAAGCUAGGGG